GACGAACGCUGGCGGCGUGCUUAACACAUGCAAGUCGAACGGAAAUGCCCUGCUUUUGUGGGGUGCUCGAGUGGCGAACGGGUUAGUAACACGUGAGUAACCUGCCCUUGACUUUGGGAUAACUUCAGGAAACUGGGGCUAAUACCGGAUAGGAGCUCCUGCUGCAUGGUGGUGGUUGGCACGUUUCGGCGGUUUGGGAUGGACUGGCGGCUAAUCAGUUUGUUGGUGGGGUAGUGGCUUACCAAGGCUUUGACGGGUAGCCGGCCUGAGAAGUUGAACGGCAACAAUGCUACUGAGGGAGGGCGCAGAAUCCUACGGGAGGCAGUAGGGGGGAAUAUGGCGCAAUGGGCGGAAGCCUGAUGCAGCAACGCCGCGAGCGGGAUGACGGGCUGCGGGAGAAGAAACGCUGUCGGCUGAGACGAAGAGUGAGUGACGGUAAUGGGUAAGGAAGCAACGGCUAACUACGUG
rnacentral:rRNA from 1 species